GGGCCCGCACAAGUGGUGGAGCAUGUGGUUUAAUUCGAUGCAACGCGAAGAACCUUACCAACCCUUGAAAUCUAGCGAAGUUCACAGAGAUGAGAAUGUGCCUUCGGGAACGCUAUGACAGGUGUUGCAUGGCUGUCGUCAGCUCGUGUCGUGAGAUGUAUGGUUAAGUCCAGUAACGAGCGCAACCCCUAUCCUUAUUUGCCAGCGCGUUAAGGCGGGAACUAUAGGGAGACUGCCGGUGAAACCCGGAGGAAGGCGGGACGAGGUCAAGUCAUCAUGGCCCUUAUGGGUUGGGCUACACACGUGGCUACAAUGGGAAGUACAGAGGGAUGCGAAAGCGCGAGCUGGAGCAAACCCCAAAAGCCGUUCUCAG
rnacentral:rRNA from 1 species